AACCAUUCUCACCUGCGGCUAGACCUGCGGAAGGAUCAUUAAAAAGAGUGUGUACCCCUCUGUAAAAUGAGUGGGUUACCUCCCGUCCUUUGUUGACCUCUUAGGAGGUUAUUUUGAACUUUCUGCUUCGGUGGGGUUAAACCUACCGGAACACCCUCAAAUUCUUAUCAUUUAAAAAUUGUUCAGUCUGAUUUUUGUUAGUAAAAACAAAAAACUUUUAACAACGGAUCUCAGAUCGGA
rnacentral:misc_RNA from 1 species